rnacentral:rRNA from 1 species
AAGUAAAAGUCGUAACAAGGUUUCCGUAGGUGAACCUGCGGAAGGAUCAUUAACGAGUCUUGAAGGCGGAAGUUUGUAGCUGGCGCGCGGAGACGCGUGCAUGUGCACGGCUUUCGUUACUCAAUCCACUCACCCCUUUGUGCACCUUUGCAAAGUCGAGUAGCCUCCGUUAUGGAUGGUUUUUGGGGCGAACGUUAUUAUAGUUCGCGGGAGGCGAAAGCUUUGAACUCUUACAAACGCAUUGUAUGUCUUGUGAAUGUAAUGCUCCUUUGUGGGCGAAAUGAAAUACAACUUUCAACAACGGAUCUCUUGGCUCUCGCAUCGAUGAAGAACGCAGCGAAAUGCGAUAAGUAAUGUGAAUUGCAGAAUUCAGUGAAUCAUCGAAUCUUUGAACGCACCUUGCGCCCCUUGGUAUUCCGAGGGGCAUGCCUGUUUGAGUGUCAUGUUAAUCUCAAACCACAAGUCUAUUAUAGACUUGGUUGGUUUGGACUUGGAGGUUUGUUGCUGGCUUACAAGUCGGCUCCUCUGAAAUGCAUUAGCUGGACUUUGGUUCGCAUUUACGGUGUAAUAGUAACUUGUUCGCCGGAGUGCUUGCCUAAGGAGUCUGCUUCUAAUCGCCCUCCUUCCCGGGCAAGGUCUUUGACCUUCUUGAACACUUUGACCUCAAAUCAGGUAGGACUACCCGCUGAACUUAAGCAUAUCAAUAAGCGGAGGAAAAGAAACUAACAAGGAUUCCCCUAGUAACUGCGAGUGAAGCGGGAAAAGCUCAAAUUUGAAAUCUGGCGGUCUUUGGCCGU